AUUGAACGCUGGCGGCAUGCCUUACACAUGCAAGUCGAACGGUAACAGGUUAAGCUGACGAGUGGCGAACGGGUGAGUAAUAUAUCGGAACGUGCCCAGUCGUGGGGAGUAACUGCUCGAAAGAAGCAGCUAAUACCGCAUACGACCUGAGGGUGGAAAGACGGGGGAGUCGCAAGACCUCGCGCGAUUGGAGCGGCCGAUAUCAGAUUAGGUAGUUGGUGGGGUAAAGACCACCAAGCCAACGAUCUGUAGCUGGUCUGAGAGGACGACCAGCCACACUGGGACUGAGACACGGCCCAGACUCCUACGGGAGGGCAGCAGUGGGGGAAGUUUUGGUACAAUGGGCGCAAGCCUGAUCCAGCCAUGCCGCGUGC
rnacentral:rRNA from 1 species